CUCUUACCUAUAUAAUAUGGAAACACUGUGGUGCAUGUAAAUCAAGAUUCUUGUAAGGAAAACUUAUAGGAAGAUUAUUCACAGUUGCUCCAAACUGGAAGGGACUGGGUAAAGCAAUUGUAGUAGAUUUGUAAAAUGGAACGCUAUAUACAGCAACAAAAAUGGACCAGUGACAUUCACUUUCUGUUUCAGUGAAUCAACUUUGUCUCUUUCUUAUCCAUUUUAUCAGUUUUUCACUAUGUCUAGUGACAUUUGGGAAGUUUUUCCUUGAACUAAUAUAAUCUAUAGAAAUGUUUCAUUUUGUGUGUUGCAAACUCGACAGUUCACUGUAUUUAUGCUCACUUCUUACUAAAAUAAAAUCUAAAUGAUGUGUGGCAUUUUUUUUCUUUCAGCUCAAAGAACAAAGCAAAGUAGAAAAGUGUGGUGCUCUCAGCAGGCUGCAGUCUGAUGUGUAAUCCGACAGAGUUUCAGAUCUUCCAUUAGGGCACCUCGGAGUGGGCGUUACGUGUGGAUGAGGGGAGCUGUGGUUCUUGUAUAGAAGCAUUAGAUCUGGAGUUGAGUUCUGAGGAAUUUCACUUCUAAAAGCUUAUCCUAAAGAAAUAAUGCUGAUAAAGAUUAAGACUUAUCUGUAAAUCCGUAGAAAUCCUGCCAGGGGCAGAAAUAGAGUGCCAUGAUUAAGUUUUUGCUCUGGCUGGACCAGAAUGUCUAAGUUCAAAUCCU
rnacentral:lncRNA from 1 species